GUAUUUUGACGGUUAUUUUACAUGUCGGGGCAUUAUACGGUCUGCUAGUGAUGCUCUAACGCCUGCCCAAGGCGAUUGGCCGUGUCAUCCAACUUGGGGAUUGGGCACAUCGAGCCCCACGCCCACAUCCGUUUCUUCCCCACGCACGCCACCUGCUCUCUCUACGUUCCCUCUCCCACACACCUCCUUACGUGACCCCACCUCGCGCCCCCGGUGUUGCGCCGACACCUCCUCCCUCCGUCGCCCCAGGUCCAUAAAGGCGGGGAUCGUGGUGAUUUUGAGUAGGGCGGCAGGUGGCUAAGGAGUGAGAGGUGGGUGGCUAGAUCGGGCGGUCAUGUGUCGGCGCGCCAACCUCGGCCUUGCGGAUGUCGAAGUGGCGGCGGUGGCCAGGCUUGUUGGUGUCGCGAUGGUAAUUAACGUGCUCGGAGGAGCUUGAUCGGUGGCCAAGUAGUCCCCAAUGAUGGCAAGACGCCAAGAUCAGGCAUCAGCACUACCAAAGGUGCGCUGCGCAUGUCUCUCCCCACCCUCGCCCGGCCCCGUUUCCCCCUCCCACGCGCACUUGGUAUGGCCCACUUCAUCCCCGCCAAUGAGCUUGGCGGCCUCGGCGACUACGCAUCGAGCACUUUGAGCGGCAUGUCUCCACUUCUCAGGGAAGUGGAUCGCGUCGGCCUGGGUUUGGCCUUGUCAAGAAGGCGGUAGUGGGAAACUAGUUGUAAUCUGCUCUAUCCGCCCCUUACAAUUUGGCCAUGUAUUGUGCUUGCUUGUACCUAUUGGACGAGAAAAGGAUGGAGAGUUCGUGGUGAUUCAUUUUACUCCUAUAUUAAUACUUGUUAUGCAUGUAAACAUUUGGAAGUAUGCUAAUCAGGAGGUGUUGCAUGAAAUUGGUAUUGUCCAUUCAACAAAUGGUGAUUUUAAUCAAUUGUUUCUCUCAUAAGGAUCAUCACAAGAUGGGAGUCAGUCUAGUGUUGCUCUACUCUUUUCUGCAGUAAAGGAAAAUGGUUAUCAACCAAUAUUCCUUAGUGCUAGAGCCGUUGUCCAGGCAUAUUUGACAAAAACUUCCUCUUCAAUCUAAAACAGGUAAAUAUAGUUGUUGUCAUUUGUUGUUUCCUUCUGUCACUUUUUUCAAUCUGUGGUGAUCUGAUCAUAUAUGUAGUAUAACUGCAUUGAUUAUCUAUUAGUAGAUGUCUAUUUCUACAUUGUUAGUAUGUCUAUUAAGUUGGUUAUAUACUCAGUUAUCCUUUUGCAAUUUUGCGGGAUGGGAAAGUACUGCCUAAUGGACCUGUUGUAAUUCCACUGGAUGGAUUGUUCAUGUCGCUCUUCCAGAAGACGUCUUGCACAUUCAGCUUUUUGUGCGUAGUCUCACUAUGUCAUGUGAGUACCGGUGAAAGUGAUGCACUGAAAAUGAAAUUUGUUCUCUUUUUUUUCUCCCUUUAAAUUAGCCGCUCAAGAAAUCUGAUAAGCACCACGUUGGUUCGGGGCUUGGUGCUAGAUAUGUUAGCACCCAUUUAUCCUGGACAUGUACUGUAUUCUCAGAUCUAUAUAGUUUGUUGCUCUUGUUUUUUUAUGUUGGAGCUACAGAUGCAUCUCGGCCAUUUCGGGAAACUGAGAUAUGCAUCUUCAACUUAUAGUUUGCUGAA